rnacentral:Y_RNA from 1 species
GAUUGGUCCAAGUGCAGUGGUGUUUACAACUAAUUGAUCACAACCAGUUACAGAUUCCUUGUUCCUUCUCCACUCCCACUGCUUCACUUGACCAAUAAA